AGAGGUAAGUUGAUUCUUUCGA
rnacentral:siRNA from 1 species